AGUGAACGCUGGCGGUAUGCCUAACACAUGCAAGUCGAACGGCAGCACAGUAAGAUCGUGCUCUUACGGGUUGCGAGAGGCGGACGGGUGAGGAAUACAUCGGAAUCUAGUUUUUCGGGUGGGUUAACGUAGGUAAAGUUACUCUAAUACCGCAGACGACGUACGGGUGAAAGCAGUGGAUCGUCUGACCUGGCGCGGAUGGAUUAGCCGAUGUGGGAUUAGUUAGUGGGGGGGUUAAUUGCCCACCAAGGCGACGAUCCGUAGCUUGUCUGAGAGGAUGAUCAGCCACACUGGAACUGAGACACGGUCCAGACUCCUACGGGAGGCAGCAGUGGGGAAUAUUGGGCAAUGGGCGCAAGCCUGAUCCAGCCAUACCGAGUGGGUGAAGAAGGCCUUCGGGUUGUAAAGCCCUUUUGUUGGGAAAGAAACGCAGCAGGCUAAUACCAAGCUGUUCUGACGGUACCCAAAGAAUAAGCACCGGCUAACUUCGUG
rnacentral:rRNA from 1 species